rnacentral:lncRNA from 1 species
UAAAAUUUCACUAACUACAAAAUUUCAACUUUUAACUUUUUAAUUAAAUUUUGCGUCAUUCAUCAUAUACCUAAUACAGUAUUUAAUGAUUCCAAUUCAUUCACCAUUGAAUUGAAAUAAAGGACAUUACCAGUUUCAUGAAAAGUUUAACUGGUCACACAUUACCCCAUUCAUUUCCCCCAGGCUUCAACAUUCUGCAAUAUCUUUUUAAGGGUUAUUUUUAGAGACCUCCCCUGAGGUUUAGUGUAUUAACACCUAGAUAGAAUGUAUUGAUAUAAUUACAGAAACCUCCCCUGCCGUUAGUAUAAAAAUACGUAUAGCAUCAGUAUACAAGGGUAAAUUUGUAAAAUCAUCGUUAAAAUUCAAAAUAUGUUUUUACUAGAUCAAUGAUAUUUUGAACGACUUGCCCGCUGUUAACCGAACUUAACUAGUUGGCCAUGACUCCACCGGCAGCCAAUAGUGGUGCUUUGCCACUGCCGGAGUCCCCUCUUCACCCUGGUUACCAACCCCAGUCACGGAAGCCUCUGAAUCAACCGCAUCCACCACCACGCAUUAACCCAAAAAGAUGGCUUUUGUCUCACAACAGCCCCCACACUGGCAGCGCCCCUUUAGUCGUUGCUGAUGUCACCCAACCGCUAUCACCCUUGAGCCAUCCCGAUGCCAUGCAACAAUCUUUGACAUCCCAAAACUUAACCACACACAGCUCUCAAAACUAUAGCUCACGGCUGGUCACGCCGAAUACCACUGCCGUAAUUUCUGCCAUCAGUGAUGGUUCCAUUUCGUCGCCGUCUAUCCCCUCAACCAACCCCCAUGAAGUCCUGACCUCAAUAAACAUCUCAACAGUCACAAAACCCACAAUUUUUUCAUCCCACACUUGCAGCCACAUUCAAACUCAUGAGAUCUCGCUGUCGCCAUCUUGUCAAAGUCCGUUAGUGGUGCUUCACUGCAAACGGAACCUUUUUAAGCACAAUACACCACCAAUAGGCAUUUUGUUCAACUGAGUUUUCAAACAAUUUGUUGAUUCUGACGCAAUUAAUUGCUUUGUCGAACUGGGUUUUCAAACAAUUUGUUAGAGUCCAAAUCUAGCUACGACUGCAAGACCGUGAAAUCUCCUGAAAGCAAGAACAAUUGACGCUUCACAUCUCUUUGUCUUUUAAACAAGCACCAGCUUUCGAAUCCUUUGCAGCCAUCUAGAGGACACGGGUUGGUUUCGAAAGCAUAGAGCUGGGUAGCAGAGAAAGAAAGGAAGGGAACAAGGUAGAAAGAAAGACAGGAUGGCGUUGAAAGUGUAUAAGUCAAGCCAAAGGACGGCGACAAGGAAGAUGGCAGGCAACAAAGGAGUGGUUGAAGACCCAGUUAACCGAUGGAAGCAGCAGCCGGCCAAACCUAUUACCCAUAAAUUCUCAAACCUACAUUUAAUAAUUUAUUAUUUUGGUGAGAAGGGUAUUUUAGUAAUUGUGACAAUCUAUUAACAGUAAACUUAACGACUAAUUAACGGCAGGGGAGGUUUCUGUAAUUAUAUCAAUACAUUCUAUCUAGGUGUUAAUACACUAAACCUCAAGGGAGGUCCUUAAAAAUAACCCAUCUUUUUAAUCUUAAUGCUACAAAUAGACAUGCAUUUCAAUAUUCACAAAACCGUUGUACUGAGAACAAUUAUAGACAAUUAAGUGCCACCGAAAAUAACUUGCAUAUCCACGAAACAAUAGUAGGUCAGUGCUUAAAGGACGGGAUAGCUGCGCAAAGGGUACCACAUAUGAACAAGGUUAGGCAAGUGAUGUUGAACAAGUUCAGCUAACAUAUGAAACCAAAUAGAAAUUGAAGACCGACAAAUGAUGAAUGUGCACUACCGAAAUACCAACUAUCAUCAAUGGCCAAGUGCAAGAUAUGCACAUGUUAUGCAAUCACUCUACUUGGCCACCUUGUGGAGUUAGAUCAUCAAGAUGACGAUCCAUGAUCGAUGCCACAGAUUCAAGAAAUCCAUCCUCACUUGUUCCUGGGAGCACAGCAUCUUGUGCUUCACGGACAAUCUGCUCAAUCACAGACUCAUCUUUCAGCGUUUUCCUACACAUGAUGCAACCAAUGUCAAAGGGAGUGAGUCCUCUAUCUACACCUUUCUUCAGGAGCAUGGUGGAAAUACGAAGAACCCGGGCACACUCAGGGGGUAUGUCCCAACCAUGAAACUUCAAAAGUUCAAUAUCCUUUUCAGCAUCCAGUGCGUUGAUGUAGUUAAUGGUUUCAGGAGAGUAAGGCUGACGAGCUUGUGGCCAGUAGAGCCAGUCGAAUGUGCAAUCUUCAAACUGCAGUGAAAAGAAGCAAAGAUCAGAAAGUGAUGGAAUUGAUGGCUGAGAAGUCCAAUAUCCAAGAUCAAAUGAUACCUACACUGCACAGGAUAGUCUGUUGUCAAAGAAUCAAACAGAUCAAUAUGGAUGGCUUGUCAAAAGGAUAAAGUUCUUGAUGUGUUGGCAAGAGUUUAAAUUUUUUUAAGAUUAAUACACUAAACCUCAUGGGAGGUCCUUAAAAAUAACCCAUCUUUUUAAUCUUAAUGCUACAAAUAGACAUGCAUUUCAAUAUUCACAAAACCGUUGUACUGAGAACAAUUAUAGACAAUUAAGUGCCACCGAAAAUAACUUGCAUAUCCACGAAACAAUAGUAGGUCAGUGCUUAAAGGACGGGAUAGCUGCGCAAAGGGUACCACAUAUGAACAAGGUUAGGCAAGUGAUGUUGAACAAGUUCAGCUAACAUAUGAAACCAAAUAGAAAUUGAAGACCGACAAAUGAUGAAUGUGCACUACCGAAAUACCAACUAUCAUCAAUGGCCAAGUGCAAGAUAUGCACAUGUUAUGCAAUCACUCUACUUG